CCUAUUUUCUGUUAACGUGUGAGAUGCAUAAUUUUUUCAGCCACAACUUUACUCUGUCACUCUGUUAUUUCAAUGUUUCUUCCAACAAUACCCCAUUUUCCUCUGAUCAUCCAGCUCAUCAUUUACUCUCUACUUCAGCCCCAUCUUAUACAAUUCCACCACCAUCAAUUCAUCCUUAUCCUUUUUUACUUUCUUACCCUCCCCAUCAACUGUGCCAACACUCAUGUCAUUUGUACAACCGCUUCUUGCCCUAAUAUUUGGCACAUCCAAUUUUUUAGCACCCCAGUAUCGUUCUUUUCACUGUUCAACCUCUCGGGCGUAUUUGGUAAGAUCUAUGCUCCUUUUGUUCCAAUAUUUUUGUAUUUAUUUUUGUGUGUUUUUCUCUAGAUCUAUGGUUGAUAAUAUAUUUUUUGUCUAUGUUUCUCUAGAUCUGGAGUUGGAAACCUCCAAUUCGACUCGAAAUCCAACCUGAAUGGUUCUGUUCACUUUGAUCUCCACACUUAUAGGAGGUCAUUGGUCGGAAUUUAAUGAAGGCCUCCAUUAUAGGGAAUUUCUUUGAUCACCUGAUUAUUGUACAAGUUUUAACAUAUUGUGUGCAUUUGUAAAUAUUGUAUAUUUAUUUAUUUAGUGGAA
rnacentral:lncRNA from 1 species